UUAGUGGCGGACGGGUGAGUAACGCGUGGAAAACCUGCCGUAUACUGGGGGAUAACACUUAGAAAUAGGUGCUAAUACCGCAUAAGCGCACAGGGGCGCAUGCCCCGGUGUGAAAAACUCCGGUGGUAUAUGAUGGACCCGCGUCUGAUUAGCCAGUUGGCAGGGUAACGGCCUACCAAAGCGACGAUCAGUAGCCGGCCUGAGAGGGCGGACGGCCACAUUGGGACUGAGACACGGCCCAAACUCCUACGGAAGGCAGCAG
rnacentral:rRNA from 1 species